rnacentral:rRNA from 1 species
UGCUUAGCCGUAACAUAGAUAGAAUUAUACAACCCCUAUCCGCCCGGACACUACGAGCAUAAGCUUAAAAUCCAAAGGACUUGGCGGUUCGUUAGAUCCCUCUAGAGGAGCCUGUUCUGUAACCGAUAAUCCCCGUUCAACCUCACCCUCCCUUGCUUAUUCAGCCUAUAUACCGCCGUCGCCAGUUUACCCUGUGAAGGACCAAUAGUAAUCAAAAUUGGCAUCGCCCAAAACGUCAGGUCGAGGUGUAGCAUAUGGGAGGGGAAGAAAUGGGCUACAUUCGCUAAUAUAGCGUACACGAAUGAUACAUUGAAACAUGUAUACUGAAGGAGGAUUUAGCAGUAAGUCGCAAAUAGAGUGUGCCACUGAAGCGGGCUCUGAAGAGCGUACACACCGCCCGUCACUCUCCCCGAACAACCUAAAAACCCUGUAAAUAAAUUACCACACCUGUAAUAGGGGAGGCAAGUCGUAACAUGGUAAGUGUACUGGAA